GACGAACGCUGGCGGCGUGCUUAACACAUGCCAGUCGAACGGAAAGGCCCUGCUUUUGUGGGGUGCUCGAGUGGCGAACGGGUGAGUAACACGUGAGUAACCUGCCCUUGACUUUGGGAUAACUUCAGGAAACUGGGGCUAAUACCGGAUAGGAGCUCCUGCUGCAUGGUGGGGGUUGGAAAGUUUCGGCGGUUGGGGAUGGACUCGCGGGUUAUCAGCUUGUUGGUGGGGUAGUGGCUUACCAAGGCUUUGACGGGUUGCCGGCCUGAGAGGGUGACCGGCCACAUUGGGACUGAGAUACGGCCCAGACUCCUACGGGAGGCAGCAGUGGGGAAUAUUGCACAAUGGGCGGAAGCCUGAUGCAGCAACGCCGCGUGCGGGAUGACGGCCUUCGGGUUGUAAACCGCUUUCGCCUGUGACGAAGCGUGAGUGACGGUAAUGGGUAAAGAAGCACCGGCUAACUACGUG
rnacentral:rRNA from 1 species